AACGCGAAGAACCUUACCAGGGAUUGACAUGACGGUAGUAGUGAAGCGAAAGCGGAACGACCCUUCGGGGAGCCGUCACAGGUGAUGCAUGGCUGUCGUCAGCUCGUGCCGUGAGGUGUUUGGUUAAGUCCACUAACGAGCGCAACCCCUAGCGCCAGUUACAAGUGUCUGGCGCGACUGCCGGUAUUAAGCCGGAGGAAGGUGGGGAUGACGUCAAGUCAGCAUGUCCUUUAUACCCUGGGCGACACACACGCUACAAUGGCCAGCACAAUGGGUCGCCAAGCCGUGAGGCGGAGCCAAUCCUAAAAAGCUGGUCUCAGUUCGGAUUGCAGGCUGCAACCCGCCUGCAUGAAGUCGGAGUUGCUAGUAACCGCAGGACAGCUAUACUGCGGUGAAUACGUUCCCGGGCCUUGUACACACCGUAGUAC
rnacentral:rRNA from 1 species